CUUUGUAUGCUGGGAGGACCAAGCGGAGGUUCCCACUAUGCAGCCCGGAGCCUGUGCAACCAGAUGACGCAUGAGGACCCUCAUCAAGAAAUAACCCCAUCAGGAUUUGGACUUUCUGACUUCCUUUGAACAUGUUUUAUCAGAAGUGGGAAUCCUGCAGCUAUGAAGUCAAGUGCUUUGUUUCCAGAGCCAUUGGAAAAUUGAAACUCUAGGAGAAGAGUAACUUGAUUUUGAAUGUACCAUAUAAUAACAGCUAACAUGUAUUGAGUACUUCCCCUUAAA